rnacentral:rRNA from 1 species
CCCUUAGAUGUUCUGGGCUGCACGCGUGCUACACUGAUAUUGCCAAUAUGUCAUUCUUAUCCGAAAUGGAUUGGGUAAUCAAGUAAUGAAAUUUCAUGCUUGGAAUCGGUAAUUGCAAUUUUAUCGUGAACGAGGAAUUCCUAGUAAGCACUAGUCAUCAGCUAAUGUUGAUUAUGUCCCUGCCCUUUGUACACACCGCCCGUCGCUACUACUGAUUGGGUGUUCAAGUGAGAUGCUUAUACCCUUGUUGCAUGGUUCAUUAUUGUGCUCCGAAAGGAAAAAGUUUCAAGCUUGAGUGUCUAGAGGAAGUAAAAGUCGUAACA